rnacentral:ncRNA from 24 species
GGCCAAGCUGUGCUCGACGGUUCCCCUCGGGGAUCAAAAGGGAACGCGGUGAGGGGUUCGCCCCGAAGCCGCGGCUGCCCCCGCAACUGUGAGCGGCGAGCCCUUCACCACCACGUCACUGGGUCACCCCGGGAAGACGGUGCGAGGGCGGCGACCCGCGAGCCAGGAGACCUGCCGUCAGCCGUGGUCACACG